GACGAACGCUGGCGGCGUGCUUAACACAUCAGCAAUUGAUUGGUGGCGGACGGGGGCGUAACGCGUAAAGAACUUGCCUCCCAGGUAGGGACAACAUUUGGAAACGAAUGCUAAUACCUAAUUCUGUGAGAGAGCUUUGCGUCCCAUUAGCUAGUUGGAGAGGUAACGACUCACCAAGGCGAUGAUGGGUAGCCGGCCUGAGAGGGUGAUCGGCAACAAGGGGACUGAGACACUGCCCUUACUCAUACGGGAGGCAGCAGUGGGGAAUAGUGGACAAUGGACCAAAGUCUGAUCCAGCAAUUCUGUGUGCACGAUGAAGUUUUCGUAAUGUAAAGUGAUUUCAGUUGGGAAGCGGUACCAACAGAAGAAGUGACGGCUAAAUACGUGCCAGCAGCCGCGGUAAUUC
rnacentral:rRNA from 1 species